GUGUGGAGCCCGGGGUGGAGGCCCUGCUGCGGUCAGCAGGGGGCAGCUUGCUCCACCUGUCUAUCUCUCAGUGUCCCCACAUCCUCACCGAUAGGACCCUGUGGCUGGCCAGCUGCUACAGCAGGAACCUGCAGACGCUCACAUACAGGAGUUCAUCAGAUCCUCUCGGUCAGGAGGUUCUCUGGGCUUUGGGUGCUGGAUGCAGGAGCAUCACCAGCCUGCAGGUGGCGCCUGCUCAUCCCUGCCAACAGCCAACUCGUUUUGGUAACCGCUGCUUGCAGACAAUUGGCCGUUGCUGGCCACACCUCCGCUCUCUCAGUGUGGGCG